CACGUAGUUAGCCGUGGCUUUCUGGUUAGGUACCGUCAAGGUACCGGCAGUUACUCCGAUACUUGUUCUUCCCUAACAACAGAGUUUUACGAUCCGAAAACCUUCAUCACUCACGCGGCGCUGCUCCGUCAGACUUUCGUCCAUUGCGGAAGAUUCCCUACUGCUGCCUCCCGUAGGAGUCUGGGCCGUGUCUCAGUCCCAGUGUGGCCGAUCACCCUCUCAGGUCGGCUACGCAUCGUUGCCUUGGUGAGCCAUUACCUCACCAACUAGCUAAUGCGCCGCGGGCCCAUCUGUAAGUGAUAGCGUAAACCAUCUUUUAGCUUCCUAACAUGUGUUAGAAAGAAUUAUCCGGUAUUAGCUCACGUUUCCGCGAGUUAUCCCAGUCUUACAGGCAGGUUGCCCACGUGUUACUCACCCGUCCGCCGCUAAUAUCAGGGAGCAAGCUCCCAUCAAUUCGCUCGACUUGCAUGUAUUAGGCACGCCGCCAGCCGUUCGUCCUGAGCCA
rnacentral:rRNA from 1 species